GAAAUGCGAUAAGUAAUGUAAAUUGCAGAAUUCAGUGAAUCAUCGAAUCUUUGAACGCACAUUGCGCCCGCCAGUAUUCUGGCGGGCAUGCCUGUUCGAGCGUCAUUACAACCCUCAGGCCCCCGGGCCUGGCGUUGGGGAUCGGCGGAAGCCCCCUGCGGGCACAACGCCGUCCCCCAAAUACAGUGGCGGUCCCGCCGCAGCUUCCAUUGCGUAGUAGCUAACACCUCGCAACUGGAGAGCGGCGCGGCCACGCCGUAAAACACCCAACUUCUGAAUGUUGACCUCGGAUCAGGUAGGGAUACCCGCUGAACUUAAGC
rnacentral:misc_RNA from 1 species